UUUGUUGGUGGGGUAAUGGCCUACCAAGACGAUGAUGUGUAGCUGGACUGAGAGGUCGAACAGCCACAUUGGGACUGAGACACGGCCCAAACUCCUACGGGAGGCAGCAGUAGGGAAUUUUCGGCAAUGGAGGAAACUCUGACCGAGCAACGCCGCGUGAACGAUGAAGUAUUUCGGUAUGUAAAGUUCUUUUAUUGAAGAAGAAAAAAUAGUGGAAAAACUAUCUUGACGUUAUUCAAUGAAUAAGCCCCGGCUAACUAUGUGCCAGCAGCCGCGGUAAGACAUAGGGGGCGAGCGUUAUCCGGAAUUAUUGGGCGUAAAGGGUGCGUAGGCGGUUAGGAAAGUCUAUAAUUUAAUUUCAGUGCUUAACGCUGUCUUGUUAUAGAAACUACCUUGACUAGAGUUAGAUAGAGGCAAGCGGAAUUCCAUGUGUAGCGGUAAAAUGUGUAAAUAUAUGGAGGAACACCAGAAGCGUAGGCGGCUUGCUGGGUCUUGACUGACGCUGAGGCACGAAAGCGUGGGUAGCAAACAGGAUUAGAUACCCUGGUAGUCCACGCCGUAAACGAUGAGUACUAAGUGUCGGGAUAAAACUCGGUACUGAAGUUAACACAUUAAGUACUCCGCCUGAGUAGUACGUACGCAAGUAUGAAACUUAAAGGAAUUGACGGGACUCCGCACAAGCGGUGGAUCAUGUUGUUUAAUUCGAAGAUACACGAAAAAUCUUACCAGGUCUUGACAUGCUCUGCAAAGCUAUAGAAAUAUAGUGGAGGUUAUCAGGGACACAGGUGGUGCAUGGUUGUCGUCAGUUCGUGUCGUGAGAUGUUAGGUUAAGUCCUAAAACGAGCGCAACCCUUGUCGUUAGUUACCAGCACGUAAUGGUGGGCACUUUAACGAGACUGCCAAUUAAACAUUGGAGGAAGGUGAGGAUUACGUCAAAUCAUCAUGCCCCUUAUGAUCUGGGCUACAAACGUGAUACAAUGGCUGUUACAAAGAGUAGCUGAAGCGCGAGUUUUUAGCCAAUCUCAAAAAAGC
rnacentral:rRNA from 1 species